UAUUUUUUAACUAAGAAUGGUUAUCAAGUUUAAAAACUUGAUAUUAAAAUGGGAAUCUAGUGUAAACCUAGAACUGUCCCGCAGCUGUAAGCUCUAAAAUUGAAAUCCGAAUAGUCACUUUUCGAAAGAAUGGGAAGACCGGGUGGAUGGAGUAAGUCAGAAGACCUGCCAUUUUUAAAUAAUUCAU
rnacentral:ncRNA from 1 species